rnacentral:rRNA from 1 species
CGCAGCGGUAACACAGGGAGCUUGCUCCCGGGUGACGAGCGGCGGACGGGUGAGUAAUGUCUGGGAAACUGCCUGAUGGAGGGGGAUAACUACUGGAAACGGUAGCUAAUACCGCAUAACGUCUUCGGACCAAAGUGGGGGACCUUCGGGCCUCAUGCCAUCAGAUGUGCCCAGAUGGGAUUAGCUAGUAGGUGGGGUAAAGGCUCACCUAGGCGACGAUCCCUAGCUGGUCUGAGAGGAUGACCAGCCACACUGGAACUGAGACACGGUCCAGACUCCUACGGGAGGCAGCAGUGGGGAAUAUUGCACAAUGGGCGCAAGCCUGAUGCAGCCAUGCCGCGUGUAUGAAGAAGGCCUUCGGGUUGUAAAGUACUUUCAGCGAGGAGGAAGGGGUUAAGGUUAAUAACCUUAGCCAUUGACGUUACUCGCAGAAAAAGCACCGGCUAACUCCGUGCCAGCAGCCGCGGUAAUACGGAGGGUGCAAGCGUUAAUCGGAAUUACUGGGCGUAAAGCGCACGCAGGCGGUUUGUUAAGUCAGAUGUGAAAUCCCCGGGCUCAACCUGGGAACUGCAUUUGAAACUGGCAAGCUUGAGUCUCGUAGAGGGGGGUAGAAUUCCAGGUGUAGCGGUGAAAUGCGUAGAGAUCUGGAGGAAUACCGGUGGCGAAAGCGCCCCCCUGGACAAAAACAGACACUCACGUGCGAAAACGUGGGGAGCACACAAGAGUAUAUACCCUGGGAGUCCACGCCCCAUAGAAUGUCAACUUGGAGAUUGUGCCCCUGAGACGUGGCUUCC